AGCGAACGCUGGCGGCAGGCCUAAAACAUGCAAGUCGAACGCCCGUAGCAAUACGGGAGUGGCAGACGGGUGAGUAACACGUGGGAACGUACCCUUUGGUUCGGAACAACACAGGGAAACUUGUGCUAAUACCGGAUAAGCCCUUACGGGGAAAGAUUUAUCGCCAGAGGAUCGGCCCGCGUCUGAUUAGCUUGUUGGUGAGGUAACGGCUCACCAAGGCUACGAUCAGUAGCUGGUCUGAGAGGAUGAUCAGCCACACUGGGACUGAGACACGGCCCAGACUCCUACGGGAGGCAGCAGUUAGGAAUCUUGGACAAUGGGCGCAAGCCUGAUCCAGCCAUGCCGCGUGAGUGAUGAAGGCCUUAGGGUUGUAAAGCUCUUUCAGCGGGGAAGAUAAUGACGGUACCCGCAGAAGAAGCCCCGCUAACUUCGUGCCAGCAGCCGCGGUAAC
rnacentral:rRNA from 1 species